AGAGUUUGAUCAUGGCUCAGAGCGAACGCUGGCGGCAGGCUUAACACAUGCAAGUCGAGCGGGCGUAGCAAUACGUCAGCGGCAGACGGGUGAGUAACGCGUGGGAACGUACCUUUUGGUUCGGAACAACACAGGGAAACUUGUGCUAAUACCGGAUAAGCCCUUACGGGGAAAGAUUUAUCGCCGAAAGAUCGGCCCGCGUCUGAUUAGCUAGUUGGUGAGGUAAUGGCUCACCAAGGCGACGAUCAGUAGCUGGUCUGAGAGGAUGAUCAGCCACAUUGGGACUGAGACACGGCCCAAACUCCUACGGGAGGCAGCAGUGGGGAAUAUUGGACAAUGGGCGCAAGCCUGAUCCAGCCAUGCCGCGUGAGUGAUGAAGGCCCUAGGGUUGUAAAGCUCUUUUGUGCGGGAAGAUAAUGACGGUACCGCAAGAAUAAGCCCCGGCUAACUUCGUGCCAGCAGCCGCGGUAAUACGAAGGGGGCUAGCGUUGCUCGGAAUCACUGGGCGUAAAGGGUGCGUACGCGGGUCUUUAAGUCAGGGUGAAAUCCU
rnacentral:rRNA from 1 species